GCUUUUCCCAAUUGUUUUCUAAAGGGUCUAAAUAAUUUAGAUGUAAAUGUACAACAGUUGUGUAAAGUCUCAGUGCCUGCAUUUCUGGCUUGUGUGUAAAUGAACAGUUUUAUAUAUUUUUGAACUCUGGUCAUUUAAAAAAAGAAGGUUGUUCAAGGAACCGGCCAGCUUUGUGACACUUAAAAUCACUAAUAAUCAAAUACUGCACUCAGGGCAGUGCAAUUAUGAAAGUUUCCCUCCAGAUGGUCUUUGAUGUCAGUCUCAUUGCAAGACCAACUGCCAGUACAAAAGACUCACUGAAUACAAAGAGCGUCUUUUGUCAUGGACAGAAUGCAGCAUGCACAGGACUCAGUGUGGGAAACAGAGCGCAUCUCUACUCACAGAGACUACCAGCCUGAAGACUGGACACAUCUGUGGCAUCUGGAUUUCCAGAAAGGCUGCUCAUGAUUUUUAAAAAAAGGACGUGCUGGAUUUGUAUCUGCGGCCCAUGAGUGUGUUCACCCUUUAGUUCUCUGAACUUCUUUAACUAACCCACCAUAUGUUUUUAAGGAUUACAUAAUCUCCAUGAAAAGUAAAUUCUCAAAGUCUUAGAACACAAGUAAAUGUCCUGCAAUAGGGUUCAAUUUUCAGUUUUUAUGUGAGCCAACUUAUUUUUAUGAAGAAAUUAUUGUCUGACAGACAGAAAUACAUUUUUUAUUAUGUAGAUUUUUU